ACUACGGGUGGCUGCAGUGGGGGAUAUUGCACAAUGGGGGGAACCCUGAUGCAGCGACGCCGCGUGGGUGAAGAAGCGCCUCGGCGCGUAAAGCCCUGUCAGCAGGGAAGAAAAUGGCGGUACCUGAAGAAGAAGCCCCGGCUAACUACGUGCCAGCAGCCGCGGUAAUACGUAGGGGGCAAGCGUUAUCCGGAUUUACUGGGUGUAAAGGGGGCGCAGACGGCGAUGCAAGCCAGGAGUGAAAGCCCGGGGCCCAACCCCGGGACUGCUCUUGGAACUGCGUGGCUGGAGUGCAGGAGGGGCAGGCGGAAUUCCUGGUGUAGCGGUGAAAUGCGUAGAUAUCAGGAGGAACACCGGUGGCGAAGGCGGCCUGCUGGACUGCAACUGACGUUGAGGCCCGAAAGCGUGGGGAGCAAACAGGAUUAGAUACCCCAGUAGUC
rnacentral:rRNA from 1 species